GCCAGCAGCCGCGGUAAUACGAAGGGACCUAGCGUAGUUCGGAAUUACUGGGCUUAAAGAGUUCGUAGGUGGUUGAAAAAGUUGGUGGUGAAAUCCCAGAGCUUAACUCUGGAACUGCCAUCAAAACUUUUCAGCUAGAGUAUGAUAGAGGAAAGCAGAAUUUCUAGUGUAGAGGUGAAAUUCGUAGAUAUUAGAAAGAAUACCAAUUGCGAAGGCAGCUUUCUGGAUCAUUACUGACACUGAGGAACGAAAGCAUGGGUAGCGAAGAGGAUUAGAUACCCUCGUAGUCCAUGCCGUAAACGAUGUGUGUUAGACGUUGGAAAUUUAUUUUCAGUGUCGCAGGGAAACCGAUAAACACACCGCCUGGGGAGUACGACCGCAAGGUUAAAACUCAAAUGAAUUGACGGGGACCCGCACAAGUAGUGGAGCAUGUGGUUUAAUUCGAAGAUACGCGCAGAACCUUACCAACACUUGACAUGUUCGUCGCGACUCUAAGAGAUUAGAGUUUUCGGUUCGGCCGGACGAAACACAGGUGCUGCAUGGCUGUCGUCAGCUCGUGUCGUGAGAUGUUGGGUUAAGUCCCGCAACGAGCGCAACCCUCACUUUUAGUUGCCAUCAUUAAGUUGGGCACUCUGAAAGAACUGCCAGUGAUAAGCUGGAGGAAGGUGGGGAUGACGUCAAGUCCUCAUGGCCCUUACGUGUUGGGCUACACACGUGCUACAAUGGCAUCUACAACAGGAAGCAAAACGGCAACGUUAAGCAAAUCCCGAAAAGAUGCCUCAGUUCGGAUUGCACUCUGCAACUCGAGUGCAUGAAGCUGGA
rnacentral:rRNA from 1 species